rnacentral:tRNA from 1 species
GCUUCAGUAGCUCAGUUGGUUAGAGCACCUGACUGUUAAUCAGGGGGUCGUUGGUUCAACCCCAUCCUGAAGCG